GGGUUGUGAGGUUAAGCGACUAAGCGUACACGGUGGAUGCCCUGGCAGUCAGAGGCGAUGAAGGACGUGCUAAUCUGCGAAAAGCGUCGGUAAGGUGAUAUGAACCGUUAUAACCGGCGAUGUCCGAAUGGGGAAACCCAGUGCAAUUCGUUGCACUAUCGUUAACUGAAUACAUAGGUUAACGAGGCGAACCGGGGGAACUGAAACAUCUAAGUACCCCGAGGAAAAGAAAUCAACCGAGAUUCCCCCAGUAGCGGCGAGCGAACGGGGAGCAGCCCAGAGUCUGAAUCAGCUUGUGUGUUAGUGGAACGGUCUGGAAAGUCCGACGGUACAGGGUGAUAGUCCCGUACACCAAAAUGCACAGGUUGUGAACUCGAAGAGUAGGGCGGGACACGUGGUAUCCUGUCUGAAUAUGGG
rnacentral:rRNA from 1 species